rnacentral:rRNA from 1 species
UACGUAGGGUGCGAGCGUUGUCCGGAAUUAUUGGGCGUAAAGAGCUCGUAGGCGGUCUGUCGCGUCGGAUGUGAAAACUCGGGGCUCAACCCCGAGCCUGCAUUCGAUACGGGCAGACUAGAGUUCGGUAGGGGAGACUGGAAUUCCUGGUGUAGCGGUGAAAUGCGCAGAUAUCAGGAGGAACACCGGUGGCGAAGGCGGGUCUCUGGGCCGAUACUGACGCUGAGACGCGAAAGCGUGGGGAGCGAACAGG